rnacentral:rRNA from 1 species
GACGAACGCUGGCGGCGUGCUUAACACAUGCAAGUCGUACGGUAAGGCCCUUUCGGGGGUACACGCGUGGCGAACGGGUGAGUAACACGUGAGUAACCUGCCCACAACUUUGGGAUAACGCUAGGAAACUGGUGCUAAUACUGGAUAUGUGCUCCUGCUGCAUGGUGGGGGUUGGAAAGCUCCGGCGGUUGUGGAUGGACUCGCGGCCUAUCAGCUUGUUGGUGGGGUAGUGGCCUACCAAGGCGGCGACGGGUAGCCGGCCUGAGAGGGUGACCGGCCACAUUGGGACUGAGAUACGGCCCAGACUCCUACGGGAGGCAGCAGUGGGGAAUAUUGCACAAUGGGCGCAAGCCUGAUGCAGCAACGCCGCGUGCGGGAUGACGGCCUUCGGGUUGUAAACCGCUUUCAGCAGGGACGAAGCUUUUUGUGACGGUACCUGCAGAAGAAGCACCGGCUAACUACGUG